rnacentral:rRNA from 1 species
GGGUUGUGAGGUUAAGCGACUAAGCGUACACGGUGGAUGCCCUGGCAGUCAGAGGCGAUGAAGGACGUGCUAAUCUGCGAUAAGCGUCGGUAAGGUGAUAUGAACCGUUAUAACCGGCGAUUUCCGAAUGGGGAAACCCAGUGUGUUUCGACACACUAUCAUUAACUGAAUCCAUAGGUUAAUGAGGCGAACCGGGGGAACUGAAACAUCUAAGUACCCCGAGGAAAAGAAAUCAACCGAGAUUCCCCCAGUAGCGGCGAGCGAACGGGGAGCAGCCCAGAGCCUGAAUCAGUGUGUGUGUUAGUGGAAGCGUCUGGAAAGGCGCGCGAUACAGGGUGACAGCCCCGUACACAAAAAUGCACAUGCUGUGAGCUCGAUGAGUAGGGCGGGACACGUGGUAUCCUGUCUGAAUAUGGGGGGACCAUCCUCCAAGGCUAAAUACUCCUGACUGACCGAUAGUGAACCAGUACCGUGAGGGAAAGGCGAAAAGAACCCCGGCGAGGGGAGUGAAAAAGAACCUGAAACCGUGUACGUACAAGCAGUGGGAGCACGCUUAGGCGUGUGACUGCGUACCUUUUGUAUAAUGGGUCAGCGACUUAUAUUCUGUAGCAAGGUUAACCGAAUAGGGGAGCCGAAGGGAAACCGAGUCUUAACUGGGCGUUAAGUUGCAGGGUAUAGACCCGAAACCCGGUGAUCUAGCCAUGGGCAGGUUGAAGGUUGGGUAACACUAACUGGAGGACCGAACCGACUAAUGUUGAAAAAUUAGCGGAUGACUUGUGGCUGGGGGUGAAAGGCCAAUCAAACCGGGAGAUAGCUGGUUCUCCCCGAAAGCUAUUUAGGUAGCGCCUCGUGAAUUCAUCUCCGGGGGUAGAGCACUGUUUCGGCAAGGGGGUCAUCCCGACUUACCAACCCGAUGCAAACUGCGAAUACCGGAGAAUGUUAUCACGGGAGACACACGGCGGGUGCUAACGUCCGUCGUGAAGAGGGAAACAACCCAGACCGCCAGCUAAGGUCCCAAAGUCAUGGUUAAGUGGGAAACGAUGUGGGAAGGCCCAGACAGCCAGGAUGUUGGCUUAGAAGCAGCCAUCAUUUAAAGAAAGCGUAAUAGCUCACUGGUCGAGUCGGCCUGCGCGGAAGAUGUAACGGGGCUAAACCAUGCACCGAAGCUGCGGCAGCGACGCUUAUGCGUUGUUGGGUAGGGGAGCGUUCUGUAAGCCUGUGAAGGUGUACUGUGAGGUAUGCUGGAGGUAUCAGAAGUGCGAAUGCUGACAUAAGUAACGAUAAAGCGGGUGAAAAGCCCGCUCGCCGGAAGACCAAGGGUUCCUGUCCAACGUUAAUCGGGGCAGGGUGAGUCGACCCCUAAGGCGAGGCCGAAAGGCGUAGUCGAUGGGAAACAGGUUAAUAUUCCUGUACUUGGUGUUACUGCGAAGGGGGGACGGAGAAGGCUAUGUUGGCCGGGCGACGGUUGUCCCGGUUUAAGCGUGUAGGCUGGUUUUCCAGGCAAAUCCGGAAAAUCAAGGCUGAGGCGUGAUGACGAGGCACUACGGUGCUGAAGCAACAAAUGCCCUGCUUCCAGGAAAAGCCUCUAAGCAUCAGGUAACAUCAAAUCGUACCCCAAACCGACACAGGUGGUCAGGUAGAGAAUACCAAGGCGCUUGAGAGAACUCGGGUGAAGGAACUAGGCAAAAUGGUGCCGUAACUUCGGGAGAAGGCACGCUGAUAUGUAGGUGAAGUCCCUCGCGGAUGGAGCUGAAAUCAGUCGAAGAUACCAGCUGGCUGCAACUGUUUAUUAAAAACACAGCACUGUGCAAACACGAAAGUGGACGUAUACGGUGUGACGCCUGCCCGGUGCCGGAAGGUUAAUUGAUGGGGUUAGCGCAAGCGAAGCUCUUGAUCGAAGCCCCGGUAAACGGCGGCCGUAACUAUAACGGUCCUAAGGUAGCGAAAUUCCUUGUCGGGUAAGUUCCGACCUGCACGAAUGGCGUAAUGAUGGCCAGGCUGUCUCCACCCGAGACUCAGUGAAAUUGAACUCGCUGUGAAGAUGCAGUGUACCCGCGGCAAGACGGAAAGACCCCGUGAACCUUUACUAUAGCUUGACACUGAACAUUGAGCCUUGAUGUGUAGGAUAGGUGGGAGGCUUUGAAGUGUGGACGCCAGUCUGCAUGGAGCCGACCUUGAAAUACCACCCUUUAAUGUUUGAUGUUCUAACGUUGACCCGUAAUCCGGGUUGCGGACAGUGUCUGGUGGGUAGUUUGACUGGGGCGGUCUCCUCCUAAAGAGUAACGGAGGAGCACGAAGGUUGGCUAAUCCUGGUCGGACAUCAGGAGGUUAGUGCAAUGGCAUAAGCCAGCUUGACUGCGAGCGUGACGGCGCGAGCAGGUGCGAAAGCAGGUCAUAGUGAUCCGGUGGUUCUGAAUGGAAGGGCCAUCGCUCAACGGAUAAAAGGUACUCCGGGGAUAACAGGCUGAUACCGCCCAAGAGUUCAUAUCGACGGCGGUGUUUGGCACCUCGAUGUCGGCUCAUCACAUCCUGGGGCUGAAGUAGGUCCCAAGGGUAUGGCUGUUCGCCAUUUAAAGUGGUACGCGAGCUGGGUUUAGAACGUCGUGAGACAGUUCGGUCCCUAUCUGCCGUGGGCGCUGGAGAACUGAGGGGGGCUGCUCCUAGUACGAGAGGACCGGAGUGGACGCAUCACUGGUGUUCGGGUUGUCAUGCCAAUGGCACUGCCCGGUAGCUAAAUGCGGAAGAGAUAAGUGCUGAAAGCAUCUAAGCACGAAACUUGCCCCGAGAUGAGUUCUCCCUGACCCUUUAAGGGUCCUGAAGGAACGUUGAAGACGACGACGUUGAUAGGCCGGGUGUGUAAGCGCAGCGAUGCGUUGAGCUAACCGGUACUAAUGAACCGUGAGGCUUAACCUUACAACGCCGAAG